CCCGGUGUCCCCCCCAUCCCGGUGUGUCCCCCCCGCCCCCCCACGCGGACUUUGUGUCCAUCCCAAAGUCCCCGGGGCCGGAGCAGCCCCGGUCCCGGCCUUGGCCCCUGGCCGGAGCCGCGGCCCCCGGGUGAUGCAAUGGGACUGUGGAGGUUACAUCACCCAGCCCCGGCCUCGGGGGUCAGGGGGGCGCUGGGAGCCCCCCCUGCUUGUGCACGGGGCAGGGUCCCCCCACAGCCCCCCCCCGACGGCGAGGGGGGGUCCCAUGGGUGAGAGCCCAGCUUGGGGGGAUCCCUCUGUGCCUUGUGGGGCGCUUGGGGAGGACCCCAAGUGUUCGGGGGGGGUCGUUGUGUGGCUUCUGAGGACUUUGGGAGGGUCCCCAUGUACCCUGUGGGGGCCUUAGGAGGAUCCCCAUGUGACUUUGGGGUCCCCAUGUGCCCUGUGGAGAGCUUUGGGGGGUCUCCAUGUGUCUUUUGGGGUCCCCUUGUGCCUUGUGGGAACCUUGGAGGGAUUCCCAUGUGCCCUGUGUGGAGUUUGUGGGGUCCCCAUGUGCUUUUGGGGGACCAUGGAGGAAUCUCCAUGUGCCCUGUGGGGUCUUUAGGGUCCCCACGUACCCUGUGGGGCCUUGGGAGGAUCCCCAUGUGACUUUUGGGGUCCCCAAGUGCCCUGUGGAGAGCUUUGGGGGGUCCCCUUGUGCCUCGUGGGACCCUUGGAGGGAUUCCCAUGUGCCCUGUGUGGAGUUUGUGGGGGUCCCCAUGUGACUUUUGGGGUCCCCACUUGUCCUGUGUGGUCUUUAGGGGGUCCCCAAGUGCCCUGUGGAGAGCUUUGGGGGAUGUCCAUGUAGCUUUAGGGGGUCCCCAUGUGCUCUAUGGGGUCCCCAUGGGGUCCCCAUGUUCCCUGUGGGGUCUUUAGGGGUCCCCAUGUGCCCUGUGGGGUCUUUAGGGGGUCCCCACGUGCCCUGUGUGUCCCCGGGCUCACCUCGGGGGGUGACACCGCAGGCAGAGCACUGGGGGUGUUGCUCCUGCUGCUCGUGGGGCGGGCUGGGGGGGCUGCAGGGUCCCAGCCCGUGCCCCCCGCCC